rnacentral:rRNA from 1 species
UACGUAGGGCGCGAGCGUUGUCCGGAUUUAUUGGGCGUAAAGAGCUCGUAGGCGGCUUGUCGCGUCGGAUGUGAAAACCCGCAGCUUAACUGCGGGCUUGCAUCCGGUACGGGCAGGCUAGAGUGCGGUAGGGGAGACUGGAAUUCCUGGUGUAGCGGUGGAAUGCGCAGAUAUCAGGAGGAACACCGGUGGCGAAGGCGGGUCUCUGGGCCGUUACUGACGCUGAGGAGCGAAAGCGUGGGGAGCGAACAGG